rnacentral:rRNA from 1 species
GACGAACGCUGGCGGCGUGCCUAAUACAUGCAAGUCGAGCGCAGGAAGCUGACGGAACUCUUCGGAGGGAAGGCAGUGGAAUGAGCGGCGGACGGGUGAGUAACACGUAAGGAACCUGCCUCAAGGAUUGGGAUAACUCCGAGAAAUCGGAGCUAAUACCGGAUAGUUCAACGGACCGCAUGGUCCGCUGAUGAAAGGCGCUUCGGCGUCACCUUGAGAUGGCCUUGCGGUGCAUUAGCUAGUUGGUGGGGUAACGGCUCACCAAGGCGACGAUGCAUAGCCGACCUGAGAGGGUGAUCGGCCACACUGGGACUGAGACACGGCCCAGACUCCUACGGGAGGCAGCAGUAGGGAAUCUUCCACAAUGGACGAAAGUCUGAUGGAGCAACGCCGCGUGAGUGAUGAAGGUUUUCGGAUCGUAAAACUCUGUUGUAAGGGAAGAACACGUACGAGAGGGAAUGCUCGUACCUUGACGGUACCUUACGAGAAAGCCACGGCUAACUACGUGCCAGCAGCCGCGGUAACAC